ACAAUGGGUUAAGUGCAAUGUACUGGAAAACUCUUCAUUCAAUAAUUAUCUAAUAGGGCUUCUAGGCAUCUCCAACCCAAAUGACUGUAUUUCCUUUCUCAACUUCAGUGAUCUCACAGUUUAACUUAUUGAGUCGUCCAUCUAGUAUAAAGAGAGAGUCCUUGGAAGGUGUCAUCAGGUACUGACCAAACAAGCCACUGUCCUGGAUUUGCCUGUUCUUCUGGUUCCAAGGCCAUUCUUCUGCCUUGAGUGGUUCCUUAAGACUCUUUAUCAUCUUAACCUUCCCAGAGGAGAGCUCCACAAAGAGCACAUCAGUUUGUGUGCUUGAACUACCAUAAAUGUUGUAUUGGUGAGCUUCAGUAAAGGAUGGCUGAAAUGCCAGAUCAGAUAUGUGCAGAUUUGUGUGAAUAUCAAAAGCCUCCUGUAUUUCUCCUCGGAUGGUAAUGUACUGGACCCUUACAAGACCUCUCACAUCAUUAAUGCUGACAAGAUAGUGCCCAUCUGGAGAGACAUAUGGAGUGCCCGUCACAUCGCUAUUGAAUCCAAUGACUGAGUCGGUUACACUGUCCACCAUAAGCUGUGGUGGAAUUGCCCCAGUGCUGUCAGGUUUGCAGCCAAUAAAGUAGUAUCCUCCCAAGUGUGUAUAUGCCAAUGACUGAGGAAUGCACUUAUAGUCCAUCAAGUUAAUUGUCUUGAUGUAUGACAUGGUUUCAAGAUCAAUUUUUUGUAAUGCAGCUUCAUCUUUGUGAAGAAUAAAUCCAAACCUGAAAAGAUGAAAACCAGAGUUAGACAGGAAACUACAGAGCAGUAAUCCCAUAUGAAAAUGUGCCGUGGGCAGGUGGAAAGGGCCAUCGCAAGUCCACACAUUGUCAGGCUAUGCAGCAAUUUGUGUCACGAUCGUGUUAGAAUUAAACUUUAAAAUUUUGCCACCCUCCUCCUUUCUCUGGGUCAUUCCUUCAUUACAGCUAAACAAUUGUAACUCAUGGUGUAGAAAACAAAAUAAUUAAAAGCAAUAUAUCUAGUUAAUUGGAACAACAAAUUUUACUUUUACCAUACAGGGGGAAAAAAGUAAAAAUCAUCUUGUGUGCCUCUAAUCCUGAUAUUGAACAAGUUUGGUUUACUGCUACUAAAGUCAGCAAUAAUAAAAUACUUGAAUACAUAGGUAUUUCACUCACUUCAUUUCCUUCUUGUCUCAUGACCAACAGAAAAAUGUGACAAUCAUCUCUACUUAGACAAUUAUCCACCACUUUCUACUUUCUCAUUUUAAUAAACUUUACAGGACUACCUUAAUAAAUGAAGUUUUUUUUUUUUUUGCUAGAAAACUAUUAAACUUCUAUUUAUUAGAUUUUAGGAUUACUUUGAUUAACAACUUUUAUGAUUUUAACACUUAUUAUAAGUUUUAAAUACAAGUUACAUUUUUCAACCUUGCUAUGCUUAAAUUGUUAUUGUUUCUGGUGGUAUAUCUAAGUUAUAUUGGUUAUCUUAUACUGAACAAUGAUAAACCUUAAAGAUUUAUGAUAUCUUCUGUUAAAGUUCAUUUAAAAGUAAAUAUUUCUUAUUUGUUUUGGUGUCCUCUUUAACUACUUCAGUAUUUUUCACAGCGUUUGUCUGGAAUACUCGCUACAAAUUAUUAUAAGUCCCUGUGAUGAAUGUAAAUGUAUUUUUAAACUGAGACCCAUAAGACCAGUGGGUUCUUAUGAAAAAUAAGUAAGUUAAAUAAGGUAAAAUGAGAUGGGGGCUACUAUACGAAAUUAUAUCUGAAAGGAUACUGGUCAAUGAAGAACUCUACUUUUUUUGUUAAUAAUAUUGAUUAAAACACAACCUAGUAUUUGUUAAUAAUAUUGUUAUUAUUUUUUGUUAAUAAUAUUGAUUAAAGACAUCCUAAUAUUUUCAAAAACUCCUUAAAUAUAAAAAAAAGGCAUCUAUUAUUACACUGACUGUACUUAUAAAUGAAAAAAAAAGUAAGAUGACUUGUGACAAUGUAAAACAAAAACUCUAAUGAUAACCAAUUAUGUUAUUGUCACCUGCAGGAAUCAUUUUCAAUAUGCUAAUAUUUACACAAAAUUUUAUUUAUGUAAAAAUGACCAUUUCCACAGAUAACACAUACAUAUAGUGCAUUUGGGGUAAUAGAUUCUGAAAAUUUCAAAUAUAAGCACAUGGCAAACUCAAAAAUAUAAAUAAACUUAUCUUUAAUAUCAUAGAGAAGAUAAGAUGAAUGUUGUCAAACAUCAGUCCUGUGUUGUAAUUGUAGAAAGCAGCAAGUGCAUAAGCACAAAUACUUUACUGAAAUGGAUAUAAAGUUGUAACUGCUUCUAUGUUCUCAUAUUAUAUAUGGUUGGGAAACCAUAUUGUAAUUUUCGCUAUAUUUGAACAUUGGUGAAGAGACUAUUUGUCCUUAGAGAGAUUACAACUCCAUCUAUACAAAAGAAAAACUACAAUGUAUACCUAAUCCUUUUUAAAAAAAAGUUUUAAGCAUUUAUUGAACAUCUACCGAAUACAAGGUGCUGGGAAUAUAUUAAGGACCAACAUAUCUCUCCCUGCUUUUAAUGAGUCUAGGAAAUGAUUAAUUAAAAAAUGACAACUUAGUGAUUAAUGUUUAAUUAUAGCAUUCUGCUAUACUAUGACUUAAUUUAGUAAUUAUCACUUAUUCUAUUUACACGAGAUGGAAUAAAGUAAUCAUUUUGAAAAUAACAUUUCUGGUGUAUUUCAGAAUGACAUUCACUAUUUCGGCUUAUUUCCUGGAUCCUUCUCUCUCCUGUGUCCUUAAUAACUAUGUGUCAUUUCAGUAAAGACAGCUCAUACCAUACCUAUUUAGGAUAAAGUUUUAGUUUUAAUUAUAAUGAUAUGAAGAAACAUUAAUAUUAUUAAAAAACACUUCUUAGUUUUUCCACUAAAAUAUUAAUAACCUAGCAAAGCUCUUAAAUACUACUGAAUAUUAAAA
rnacentral:lncRNA from 1 species